rnacentral:tRNA from 3 species
AAAGUCUUAGCUUAAUUAAAGUGUCUGUUUUGCAUGCAGGAGAUGUGGGGUAGUAUCCCGCAGAUUUUA